rnacentral:rRNA from 1 species
AGUGAACGCUGGCGGUAGGCCCAACACAUGCAAGUCGAACGGCAGCACAGUAAGAGCUUGCUCUUACGGGUGGCGAGUGGCGGACGGGUGAGGAAUACAUCGGAAUCUACUUUUUCGUGGGGGAUAACGUAGGGAAACUUACGCUAAUACCGCAUACGACCUACGGGUGAAAGCAGGGGAUCUUCGGACCUUGCGCGAUUGAAUGAGCUGAUGUCGGAUUAGCUAGUUGGCGGGGUAAAGGCCCACCAAGGCGACGAUCCGUAGCUGGUCUGAGAGGAUGAUCAGCCACACUGGAACUGAGACACGGUCCAGACUCCUACGGGAGGCAGCAGUGGGGAAUAUUGGACAAUGGGCGCAAGCCUGAUCCAGCCAUACCGCGUGGGUGAAGAAGGCCUUCGGGUUGUAAAGCCCUUUUGUUGGGAAAGAAAAGCAGCAGGUUAAUACCCCGCUGUUCUGACGGUACCCAAAGAAUAAGCACCGGCUAACUUCGUG